AUUUUGUAUUCCUGCAUCUUCCCUAGAGCAGAUUUUUUUUUUUUUUUGUUCUGUUACUCUAGAUGCAGUAGGCUUUCACCAUUGCCUUGAGUGUGACAGUGCUUGUUGGCUUUCCUCCAGCAGUUUUGGCCUUGUUAUGAAGAGGAAAAAGGGCACAGACUUCAAGAUGUCAUCUUGGAAGCAGAGACUGGACCUUCACCAGACUCAAAACCUACCAGUACCUUGAUCCUAAACGUCUUUCCCGGCUCCAGAACUGUGAGAAAGUAAGUUUCUGUUUUUCAUAAAUUAUCCAGUCUCAGGUAUUCUGUUAUAGCAGCACAAAACAGACUAAGAUGGGUGUUUGAAUCAACUUGAGCUUCCUGAGACUCAAGUUAGAGUGGCAGAGCUAGAAUCCUUGGAGGUGAAACUCCAGGAUCUGCAUUUAAUCUGCCCACCUCUCCCAGGAACAUUGCUGCACAUCCAAGUUUGGGAAUAAUUGCCAGGACUUUUAAAGUUUUUUUUUUUUAUUAAAGUUUUUUAUUAAAGUUCCAAAAUAUAUGUGCAGAACGUGUAGUUUUGUUACAUAGGUAUACAUGUACCAUGGUGGUUUGCUGCCCCUAUCAACCCAUCCUUUAGUUUUAAAACCACCCA
rnacentral:lncRNA from 1 species